UUUUUUUUAAUUUUAUUUUUUAUUUUUUAUAUUGAAAAAUAUGCACAGAUGAAAAACUCACAAAACAAGAGAAAGGCUUUCCACACUCUUCAAUAGAAGCCUUGUACCCAAUGAGGAGGAGGGUGUACUACAGAGUGAAUACUUCACUUUGAGGAAAACAAUAUGAAUUAUUAAGUACACGGUAGCACCAUCUUCCCUUUUCCCUUCUCUCACUCCUUUCAAGGAGCCAAGGAAAUGCUUAUGUUUCACUGAGCCUUUGACCACCCAUUCUUCUUCUGGAAUUGCAUAAAUUGCACUGACUUUCUCUCACAGUUUUUAGCUCUGAGUAAGGAACACCAAACGGGAAGAAGUUAAGAAGUUGAGUUUACAAGUAAUUUUAGAUAAAGAAGAAAUGGUUAGUGAGGGCAGAGACAGAGAAAUAUAAAGUUUUUAUUGCAGCAGUAAGAGUAACAUUGGCCUUAUCACAUGACAGAACUAUUCCUAACCAGUUCAGCAUCCAAACAGGAUUUCACUGAUAAUAAAGGACAUUUUAAAUUAGGUGGAGCCUUGUGGGUUAUGUAAGCUUAUAAAGUGUAAAUUCAGCACAAACUGUUACUAGAGUUAAGAUAGGUUCCUUUCAGAAGCUUCACAGAAGAAAAUAAAAGAAAAAAUCUGAGCAGCUCAGCAAGGUGUUAAUUGUCUAACUUUAUUUUGCAAAGGCGUCUUGGGGCUUACUUUGGAAAGAUCCACAAUAUAAACCAUAGCAACUGUAUUUGAGAGAACCAAGGAGUGGCUCCUGGGAGGCAGAGUAAGGGGAAUUGGUGGUGUAGCAACAAGUAGGAAGGGCAAGGAGAAAGGGAGGCAUCUGGAAAGCUGCAGUGAAGAUUCAACCAAACAAACAAAGAAAAAGAUGAAGUAACUGGAAGUCCCUGGAUCCCUGACCAGAGAGGCUGGGGAUGCACAUGAGAAUAAAAGGCUAUGUUCAUGUCUCAUAUUCUCCUGGUGUUGAACAGCAGCCUGUUGAUCAACCCAACAGCUAAGCCCUCUGAGAAGAAGGACUUCCACUACUAGGGUUCUCCAAGGACCUGGAGGGGCACCAGAUCAAAGUGCAAUGGAAAGAUUUGCAUCUGAAUAACUAGAGGCUACAGGAACUGUAAGUCUUAGUGGUGGAGAUUGCUUAUCUCAGAGAGUAGAUGACUCAGGUAGAGCCUGCAGGAGAAGGGACUGGGACUGAUCCCCUUCAAAGGAUCAACAAUGGGAAUUGACACCUGGAAAAUGGAAGCUCAUGUUCACCAGGCCACAUGCUGUCCUGAUUUCUUGCAGCCCCUCUGCCUAGAUGAUGCCCAGAUUAUCUGAUUAUGGUGAGACAUCUCAGGAUCAGAGACAAUCAGAAUCCCUUGGCAUGCAUGUAUGUGCAUGUAUGUGCAGUGACAUGCAUGUAUGCGCAGUGGGGUCCCUCCCUGGGGUCCACCUCAGGGAGGCAAUGUCAGUGGCAGAGGCCUAUUUCCCUCCUCAGGAGGAGACUCCACUUCGUCUCAGGACCCCCAGGGAGCACCAAGGGACUUGUGGCGGCAGCUGAGCUCUUCCACCCAACACAGUCCUCUGUUUAAGGCUUGGGGACUGCCAGAGGAAUCAAAUUUUGAAAUCAACCAUGGGUCUAAAUGGCUCAGGCUCUCUGUCACUACAAGAGUUGCAGUCUCAUCCACCUUUCAGAGCUAUUUUAUUCCAAUAAAAGAGAAAAUGAACUUUUAAUAUAUAAAGAUCAACUCAUAUAACUAUUUUAUUCUAGAAGAUACCAGAGCAGGACUCCUGUUUGCUUUAACUGGUCUGUUAAGUAAGAGAAAAAGACGCAGUCACCCACAGUCCAUCAUAACAGUAUGUCCAGUGACAACUGUAUCAAAGCUGUCACUUUUCAAGACCAAGGAGUGUAGAAAUCCUGUCAGAGCUAUCUUUCAGCUUCAUCUGUGUAAUUCCAUCUGCUAUAAAGAUUCAGGUACCUGGUGGGGCUUCAAGCAAAAACAGCCCGGUGCUGGGUCUAAUCUGCCUGA